AAAUUGCUUCUCUUCAGAUUGUUCUUAUUGCGGUUGCUUUAGUUUUAGAUAAUCAUUUGGCAUUCUGGUACACAUUAGAUCAUUUUGCACCGUAGAAAAAUAACUUAGGAAUAUUCGUAGUUUGUUUUAGCCGAGUAAAGCUUGUAAAACAAAUUGACGUUAGAUCAUCUCGAACCGUAGAGAAAUAACUUAUGAACAUUCGUAGUUUGUUUUAGUCGAGUAAAGCUUGUAGAAUAAUGUUGAAUUGUCCCACAUCGGAGGGAUUUGAGGUCCUUGGUCUCCUUAUAUGGCUUGGGCAGUACUCACCUCAUAAGCUAGCUUUUGGGGUUGAUUUAGGCCCAAUGUCCAUUAUUUUCAUGGUAUCAGAGCCGGGCCCAUCCCAAUUAUUGUUACCGAUAUUGGGCCCCCAUUUAUGUUGUCCACGCUCCAGAGAU
rnacentral:lncRNA from 1 species